GCACAUGCGUAGACUGACCUACUCAGGCUUUGCCCAUUUUCCACUCGCUAGUUGUGUCGUUCUGCGCAUGUGUCUGCCAACGGCCCCCAUGGUGAGGGGGUCUCGUGCUCAAAUACCGGGCGGGCGGCGAGUGAGGUUCUACGCAUGCGCAGCUUCUGGACGCUGUGGGAGAUGUACUACUAGCGAGCGAGCGAGCAGCCGGGUCCGUGUGACUGAACGGAGGGAGGAGGCGAGAAGAGCCUGAGCUGGGCCUGGGCCGGGAGAGAGCGAAGCGUCGAGAACAGCUGCGGAGCUGAGGGGGCAGGCGGGGUGAGGGGGCAGGCGGGGCAGCCCGAGGCGGACCCUGGAUGCGCAGGGGGCUGUGCAGCGGGGACAGACGGAGACUGCCAGUGACCCCAUAGGAUGUUCCAGGCCUCCAUCUCUUGAACUGCUGAAUCUGGUCCUCAUGACAAUCAGCCUCAUGACUCCUACUAAACCGCUGAUCUGUGAGGGUAGAUGCUACAAAUAAGGUACCUUCGUAAGUGAGAGAAUGGAAAAAGUUGGAGAGCCACUAACAAUCAUUCCCUGUUGGUUGUUUUUCAAAGUGUUGAAUUCUGGUGACAACAGAGAUGGGCUUUUCAGACAAUAGUUUGAGAACCCUUGACAUAUUUGAAGGGCGGAAGCAUCAAGGAAGGAAAGGAAUCAUAUAGGAUAGUCUUGUGGGACAUAACUAGAUAUAAGGGGAAAGAGAAAUGGGUACAUUUUCAGGCAUAAUUUACUAACAAUGAGAUCAGUAUGUGGACUGGUCUCCUUUCUAAUUGCUGGUAACUGGACUCAGAGUCCCCACCCCUGUUCCACCUCUUCCCCCAAAGCCCUGCUCCCUUCUCUGCCUCUUCCCACAAGGCCCCGCCCCUGUUGCUCACUCCUCUUGCCUCCAUCCCCAUCACUUGCUGGAUCGUCUCAAGGAGCCUGCUUGCAAGUAGGAGGCAGCCCCAGCUGAACAGAGGCUGGCACAAGUUAAUGACCCAGCAUCUCCUUCUGCCCCAUAGUAAACAGAUUUUGGUUUGAGUGUCAUUUAGGGUUGCCAGGUCCCCUUUUUGACUGGACUUUCCAGUGAAAAAAUGUGCACUUGGCAACCCUAAAUGGUACACAGACACAGAAACCAUAAUGUGUAGCAAUGACGCGUAGCCAGAUGGGUAGCAAUGCUAUGAUCUCCCAAUGGAAUCCCAUUCUGUGAGACAGUUAAAAGAGCACUGCAUAAAACUCCUGAAUGCCCAUGAACAAUCUUACAUCACUGGAGGUGUAAUCAAGAUAGCCUGAUGGGUGGGUCUAUUCUCCCUCUCUCAUGUCUGUGAAAUGUGAUAAUGUCUGUGUGCGCCUUCCUCUUGUGUUCCUAAUACACUAAAUAAAUGUUACUAACACACAAAAACAACUAAUGCGCCAGUUUCUGAAACAAGAAACUUAAAAUUAAGAAAUCAGGUAUUCAGUGUAAUGUAUUUUCUCUUUAUUAUAAUUAAGCAUGCAUGUUAACAGUUGGAUAGCAGCAGGUGUGAGUGGGAAGGACACUAAACUAGGAUCAUGUGGGGAAAUUAGCAAGUGCAUACAUAAUAUAUUCACUCCAUUUGCAAUCUCUGAGAAUAUGGAGGUGUUUUAUUUUCCAAUGGUGUUUGAAAAGACUGUCAGAAAACUAUUAGGGUCUGUCAAUGGUUACCCUGUUCCUAGGUCACCACUUCCUGAUUUGCAGAGUUGCUGAGGUUGGCAGGAAACUUGUUUUAUAGUACUUUCUCCUAGCAGCCUCCCUUGAGAAGAGCCACCGGUGAACAUGUGACACAGCUACCAGGCUGUUGCAAAGCAUCAGGAUUACAAUUCAGUGUUUAAAGUAUGCUUCUCAUUAGCAUUGUCAUUAAAUGAUAAUCUCUUUAUAUCCCAGCACUUGACAUGGGGAACAGGAUAAUCAACGGGGUUGCGAUUCAAUGUUAGUUGUUUAGGAAUAGAACCUGGUAUUAUUAUUAUAAUUAUGAAUAACCUGUUGCAUUCCUGAAGCUUAAAAAGGUUUGCAUUUAUUCAAUAAACAGAAAAAGUAUGUAUGCUGAUAGACAUGGGUCUUCUAUGAAAAAGCUAGCAUUAAAAGGGCAAUCUAAUAAGAAAACUCUCAGCUGUUUCUUACCAUCUAAAUGUGGACCAGCUAAAGGCCAUAUGCGCAAUUUGCAUCCAUCUGGAUCAAGAUGGUGAAUUGUAUGACUGUACCAGUAAUCUACAGAGGCCACAAAGGCAAGCGAAACCCACCUUACCGAUUCCAGUGAGCUAUAUUUUGGCCACCUCUGAGUCAAAUAGUUAGGAAUUAAACUCAGGCCCACAUUUUUCAGAAAACAGCAUAUGGUAUUGUAUGCACAAAAAAUGUGCUCAACUGCAUAUCUAAUUUAUGCAUAUAAUUAAUUACAUCAACUGCAAGUGCAAAUGACAAGCUGUGGUGUGUGUAAAUAGUUGUACACACAAAUGAGGUGCAUAGAUGUGCAUCUGUUUUCUGGACAUUUGGAUUUCAGCUUCUACAUGUUAGUAUAUAUUGAUUAAAGCAAGGCUGAGAGUCAGCCUGCUAGGUUCUUGCCCCAGCUCAGCCACUGUCGGACCACGUGACCUUGGGAAAACUGUUUCACUUUGCUGUGCUUAAUUUCCUCCCUCUGUAAAAUGAAUUGAAUUACUUACAUAGUUAAUAAGGGUGUCAAGAAGUUUAAUGUUUCUAAACUGCUGAGAUCCUCAGGUUAAAGGUGCUAUGAAAGUAGUAUUCAUGCAAUUGUAUUCCUUAAUGAUAUCAGAAGAUAUUUUUGAAAUUGCAAUAUUUAAAAUUUUAGGGUUGUACUUAGUUAAAAGAAACACCUGUUAACUUCCACAGCACAAU